CCUACGGGUGGCAGCAGUGGGGAAUAUUGGUCAAUGGGCGUAAGCCUGACCCAGCAACGUCGCGUGAAGGAAGAAGGCUCUCGGGUUGUAAACUUCUUUUUUCAGGGACGUAGCAAGUGACGGUACCUGAGGAAUAAGCCACGGCUAACUACGUGCCAGCACCCGCGGUAAUACGUCGGUGGCAAGCGUUAUCCGGAUUUACUGGGUGUAAAGGGCGGGUAGGCGGGGACGCAAGUCAGAUGUGAAAACCACGGGCUCAACCUGUGGCCUGCAUUUGAAACUGGGUUUCUUGAGUACUGGAGAGGCAGACGGAAUUCGUGGUGUAGCGGUGAAAUGCGUAGAUAUUAGGAGGAACACCAGUGGCGAAGGCGGUCUGCUGGACAGCGACUGACGCUGAGGCGCGAAAGCGUGGGGAGCAAACAGGAUUAGAUACCCUAGUAGUC
rnacentral:rRNA from 1 species